rnacentral:rRNA from 1 species
GCCUAACACAUGCAAGUCGAGCGGUAGCACAGGGAGCUUGCUCCUGGGUGACGAGCGGCGGACGGGUGAGUAAUGUCUGGGAAACUGCCUCAUGGAGGGGGAUAACUACUGGAAACGGUAGCUAAUACCGCAUAACGUCUUCGGACCAAAGAGGGGGACCUUCGGGCCUCUUGCCAUCAGAUGUGCCCAGAUGGGAUUAGCUAGUAGGUGAGGUAAUGGCUCACCUAGGCGACGAUCCCUAGCUGGUCUGAGAGGAUGACCAGCCACACUGGAACUGAGACACGGUCCAGACUCCUACGGGAGGCAGCAGUGGGGAAUAUUGCACAAUGGGCGCAAGCCUGAUGCAGCCAUGCCGCGUGUAUGAAGAAGGCCUUCGGGUUGUAAAGUACUUUCAGCGAGGAGGAAGGCAUUGUGGUUAAUAACCACAG